rnacentral:rRNA from 1 species
UACGGAGGGUGCAAGCGUUACUCGGAAUUAUUGGGCGUAAAGCGUGCGUAGGUGGUGUGUUAAGUCUGUCGUGAAAGCCCCGGGCUCAACCUGGGAAUGGCGGUGGAUACUGGCUCGCUAGAGUGCGGUAGAGGAGAGUGGAAUUCCCGGUGUAGCAGUGAAAUGCGCAGAUAUCAGGAGGAACACCGGUGGCGAAGGCGGGUCUCUGGGCCGUAACUGACGCUGAGGAGCGAAAGCGUGGGGAGCGAACAGG